rnacentral:rRNA from 1 species
AUUGAACGCUGGCGGCAGGCCUAACACCUGCAAGUCGAACGAGUGGCGGACGGGUGAGUAAUGUCUGGGAAACUGCCUGAUGGAGGGGGAUAACUACUGGAAACGGUAGCUAAUACCGCAUACCCUCGGAUGUGCCCAGAUGGAAUUAGCUAGUAGGUGGGGUAAAGGCUCACCUAGGCGACGAUCCCUAGCUGGUCUGAGAGGAUGACCAGGCACACUGGAGCUGAGACACGGGCCAGACUCGUACGGGAGGCAGCAGUGGCGAAUAUUGCACAAGGGGCGCAAGCCUGAUGCAGCCAUGCCGCGUGUAUGAAGAAGGCUCUCGGGUUGAAAAUUAAUUUCAGCGGGGAGGCGUUACCCGCAGAAGAAGCCCCGGCUAACACCGUGCCAGCAGCAGCGGUAAUUC